UGUUCUUCUUUUCCAGGACUGGGUUUUCCUCACUCGCUUCUGCUUUCUCACUGACUUUGGCCGCUUGGACUUCAGAUUUCGUUAUCCAAAGUCUUGGUGCUGUCAGAACAUAUUGCUGUAUUUUGAUGAUAGCUCGCAGUGGCCAGCUGUGUACAAGAGGCCGGAAAAGAACUGCUACCAAAAAGAGGCAGUGCUGAGGCCUGAGAACAACCAGGUCAUCAACCUCACCACACGCUACACCUGGUCAGGCUGUGUGGUGGAGGGAGAUGGUAACGAGGAGGUGCUCAGCUGCGUGGGA